CGCAACAGCUAGCUUACUACCAAAUAACUAAACAAUAUAAAUAAAACAAAAUAAGCCCAACACCAAAACUUAAACCAUUCUUUUACCUUAGUAUGGGAGACAGAAAAGGUUCCACAAAGCAAUAGAAACAGUACCGCAAGGGAAAGCUGAAAGAGAAAUGAAACAACCCAUAUAAGCAUUAAAAAGCAAAGACUUAACCUUGUACCUUUUGCAUCAUGAUUUAGCCAGUACACCCAAGCAAAGAGACCUUUAGUUUGAAACCCCGAAACCAGGUGAGCUACCCCGAGACAGCCUAUUAUAGGGCUAACCCGUCUCUGUGGCAAAAGAGUGGGAAGAGCUCCGGGUAGAAGUGACAGACCUACCGAACCUGGUGAUAGCUGGUUGCCUAAGAAAUGGAUAGAAGUUCAGCCUCGUUACACCUCAAAUCAAACGAAUGUAAACAAGACACUAAGAGAAAUAUACGAGAGUUAGUUAAAGGGGGUACAGCCCCUUUAACAAAGGACACAACCUUCUCAGGAGGAUAAAGAUCACAAUACACAAAACAUACUGUUCUAGUGGGCCUAAAAGCAGCCAUCUAAACAGAAAGCGUUAAAGCUCAGACAGACAAAAGUUUAUUAUUCUGAUAAAAAAUCUUACUCCCCUAAACACUAUUAGGCCAGCCCAUGCCCCCAUGGAAGAGAUUAUGCUAAAAUGAGUAACAAGAAGGCCCGCCCUUCUCCAAGCACAAGUGUAAGCCAAACCGGACCAACCAUUGGCAACUAACGAACUCAAUCUAAGAGAGCAAUGUGAGUUACAAAAAAACCAAGAAAAACCCACAAUUAAACCAUCGUUAACCCCACACUGGAGUGCAUCCAAAGGAAAGACUAAAAGAAAAGGAAGGAACUCGGCAAACACAAGCCUCGCCUGUUUACCAAAAACAUCGCCUCCUGCAACACAACCAAGUAUAGGAGGUCCAGCCUGCCCAGUGACUACAAGUUUAACGGCCGCGGUAUUUUGACCGUGCAAAGGUAGCGCAAUCACUUGUCUUUUAAAUAGAGACCUGUAUGAAUGGCUAAACGAGGGCUUAACUGUCUCCCCUUUCUAGUCAGUGAAAUUGAUCUACCCGUGCAGAAACGGU
rnacentral:rRNA from 1 species